UUUUUAAGUAAUUUCAGAUUCAUUUCGCCACUGUCUGGUACCACAACUCUUCAAUAGUUCUCUCAACAACCACCACUACUAAAGCCUUUUACUCCUCGUCUCACGGUCACCUUCUCUUGUAAAUCAGUACACCUCAUGUAUCCAGAUCUCGUUGUACCUCAUUCGACAAUCAUUUCUUUAAGUGUCUAUAGUGUCUCUCCCUAAAGUCGUUAUUCAGUCAACCGAUGCCUUUAUAAGUUCGCCUAUUUUAAAUCUACAAUACUCGUUAUCUUAUUAUUGUAAAAAUAUCAAGUACCUAUCUCUAUAAUAAAGCUUGCAGAUAAUUUAAGUUUUGUAUAUCGCUAUUUUCAGAAAAAUACGCAUCUUGCCUUUUUAUAAAUUGAAA